GUAGGUGAACCUGCGGAAGGAUCAUUAUUGAAUGAACUUGGUGUGGUUGUCGCUGGCCCUCUUGGGGGCAUGUGCACACCUACCAUCCUCAUCUCUCCACCUGUGCACCUCUUGUAGAUUUGGAAUUGAUUAUCCGAGGCAACUCGGUCGUGAGGACUGCUAGCACUUAGCUGGCUUUCUUUGCAAUUCCAGAUCUAUGUUUUUCCAUAUACCCCAUUGUAUGUAACAGAACGUAUCAUUGGGCCUUGUGCCUAUAAACCUUAUACAACUUUCAGCAACGGAUCUCUUGGCUCUC
rnacentral:misc_RNA from 1 species